GGAGAAGAAGAUUUGGGGCGGUAGGUGCGCCGGUGAAGGAGGAAACGGAAGGAGUAAAGUUUUCGUUUGAAGGAAAGUAGUGGUUGAGUGGAGCUGUGUGAGGGUAGUGGAUUCUUUUUCUUUUUCUUUUUAUGUUCCAGCCGAGAGAAAGGGUGGUCUGGGAACGUUGAAGGGAGGAAGAUAUAUCUUAACAUUUCUGAUUUUUUUUCUCUUUAAUAUUAUUAUUAAACUCCUAUUUUGUGGUUGGAUAAUAU
rnacentral:lncRNA from 1 species